UACGGGGGGGGCAAGCGUUGUUCGGAAUUACUGGGCGUAAAGCGCGCGUAGGCGGCUCUUCAAGUCGAGUGUGAAAGCUCCAGGCUUAACCUGGGAAUUGCGCUCGAUACCGUUGAGCUAGAGUGUGGAAGGGGCUACUGGAAUUCCGUGUGUAGCGGUGAAAUGCGUAGAUAUACGGAGGAACACCGAUGGCGAAGGCAGGUCUCUGGGCCACUACUGACGCUGAGAAGCGAAAGCAUGGGGAGCGAACAGG
rnacentral:rRNA from 1 species